rnacentral:rRNA from 1 species
CCUACGGGAGGCAGCAGUGAGGAAUAUUGGUCAAUGGACGAGAGUCUGAACCAGCCAAGUAGCGUGAAGGAUGACUGCCCUAUGGGUUGUAAACUUCUUUUAUAAAGGAAUAAAACGAGGCACGUGUGCCGUUUUGCAUGUACUUUAUGAAUAAGGAUCGGCUAACUCCGUGCCAGCAGCCGCGGUAAUACGGAGGAUCCGAGCGUUAUCCGGAUUUAUUGGGUUUAAAGGGAGCGUAGACGGGUUGUUAAGUCAGUUGUGAAAGUUUGCGGCUCAACCGUAAAAUUGCAAUUGAAACUGGCAGUCUUGAGUACAGGUAAGGUAGGCGGAAUUCGUGGUGUAGCGGUGAAAUGCUUAGAUAGCACGAAGAACCCCGAUUGCGAAGGCAGCUUACUGAACUGUGACUGACAUUGAUGCUCGAAAGUGUGGGUAUCAAACAGGAUUAGAUACCCUUGUAGUC